GGACUGAGACACGGCCCAGACUCCUACGGGAGGCAGCAGUGGGGAAUUUUGGACAAUGGGGGCAACCCUGAUCNNGCAAUGCCGCGUGUGUGAAGAAGGCCUUCGGGUUGUAAAGCACUUUUGUCCGGAAAGAAAACCUCGGUCCUAAUACGGCGGGGGGAUGACGGUACCGGAAGAAUAAGCACCGGCUAACUACGUGCCAGCAGCCGCGGUAAUACGUAGGGUGCAAGCGUUAAUCGGAAUUACUGGGCGUAAAGCGUGCGCAGGCGGUCCGCUAAGACAGAUGUGAAAUCCCCGGGCUUAACCUGGGAACUGCAUUUGUGACUGGCGGGCUAGAGUAUGGCAGAGGGGGGUAGAAUUCCACGUGUAGCAGUGAAAUGCGUAGAGAUGUGGAGGAAUACCGAUGGCGAAGGCAGCCCCCUGGGCCAAUACUGACGCUCAUGCACGAAAGCGUGGGGAGCAAACAGGAUUAGAUACCCUGGUAGUCCACGCCCUAAACGAUGUCAACUAGUUGUCGGGUCUUCAUUGACUUGGUAACGUAGCUAACGCGUGAAGUUGACCGCCUGGGGAGUACGGUCGCAAGAUUAAAACUCAAAGGAAUUGACGGGGACCCGCACAAGCGGUGGAUGAUGUGGAUUAAUUCGAUGCAACGCGAAAAACCUUACCUACCCUUGACAUGUAUGGAUCCCUGNUGAGAGGUGGGGGUGCCNGAAAGGGAGCCAUAACACAGGUGCUGCAUGGCNGUCGUCAGCUCGUGUCGUGAGAUGUUGGGUUAAGUCCCGCAACGAGCGCAACCCUUGUCCCUAGUUGNUACGCAAGAGCACUCCAGGGAGACUGCCGGUGNCAAACCGGAGGAAGGUGGGGAUGACGUCAAGUCCUCAUGGCCCUUAUGGNUAGGGCUUCACACGUCAUNCAAUGGUCGGAACAGAGNGUCGCCAACCCG
rnacentral:rRNA from 1 species